rnacentral:tRNA from 1 species
GGUGCAGUGGUUAAAUGCUCGGCUGCUAACCAAAAGGUCAGUGGUUCAAAUCCACUCAGCUUCU